rnacentral:rRNA from 1 species
GGUAACUUAGUCUUAUACUCAUCAUCAAUGGAUCACUAAUCUAUUCAUCAAUAUUACUAUUUAAGAAGAGUUUCUUAUAUCUCCCCGUCACCCCAACCAAACAACUUUAACUUAAAUAAUAGUUCUCCCCAAAUCUACUUAUAGCUAUAAAUUGUAAAACUCUAUAGGGUCUUCUCGUCCUCCAACAUUAUUUUAGCCUUUUAACUAAAAAGUUAAAUUUUAAUUCAAUCCUUACGAGACAGUUAACACCUCGUCCAACCAUUCAUACCAGCCUCUAAUUAAGAGACUAAUGAUUAUGCUACCUUUGCACGGUCAAAAUACCGCGGCCCUUCAAUUUUCAGUGGGCAGGCUAGACCUCCUAUCUAACCAAGAAGCGAUGUUUUUGAUAAACAGGCGAGCAUUAAUUUGCCGAAUUCCUUAUAAAGACCUCUCACACCCAAUACUCCUACAUAUUCUUAUAUUAAUUUUACCAUUAUUACUUAUCACUUCUAAUUGCAAAUAACACUUUGAUACAUAAAUUAAACUUUCCAAAAUUAAACCUUUCCCCAAUAAACUAUAACGUUAUUACUCGAUAGCUGAUUUCAAGCCUACUUCUCUAAAUCUUAAAUCUUGUUAUAAACCUAUCUUGAAGCUUAUCCCUCAAAAUAUUAAUAAGAAACACCUAAAUCAAUUUACACUUAUCAACAUAACAUCUUUAUCUGAAUUCAAUUCAUUUCUCAAAGAACUAGAAACCUUUAAAUUCGUCUAACAUUUCAUUUCUAAAAUAACAUUACUGAUAAAUUUGCAACUUUAAUCAACCUAUUAUCUUAGCCCAUUUAAAAUCGAGAAAAUAAAAUCCUUCCUUUCAUUUAAUAAACCCUGAUACACAAGGUACAAUAUUAAAUCUACUUCUUACCAACUCCCUUUUCACAUAUUUCAUCUUUCCUUCUCAGUACUACCUUUAUUAUUAACUCUAUAAUUUCUCUACCCAAUACUCUAACUUAAACUCUCAUAUUGAUUUACCUAUUCUUAAAUCACAACCCCUAACUCUUCUUAUUAGUAUCCCUCUCNAAAUAAAUUGAAUUGCACAAUAACCCUUCAAUGUAAAUGAAAUGCUUUACUCACCAAGCUCUA